rnacentral:rRNA from 1 species
GACGAACGCUGGCGGCGUGCUUAACACAUGCAAGUCGAACGGUGAUCUUGAGAGCUUGCUCUUGGGUGAUCAGUGGCGAACGGGUGAGUAACACGUGAGUAACCUGCCCCUGACUCUGGAAUAACUUCGGGAAACCGAAGCUAAUACCGGAUAUGACACAGAGCCGCAUGGUUUCUGUGUGGAAAGUUUUUCGGUUGGGGAUGGACUCGCGGCCUAUCAGCUUGUUGGUGAGGUAAUGGCUCACCAAGGCGACGACGGGUAGCCGGCCUGAGAGGGCGACCGGCCACACUGGGACUGGGACACGGCCCAGACUCCUACGGGAGGCAGCAGUGGGGAAUAUUGCACAAUGGGCGAAAGCCUGAUGCAGCGACGCCGCGUGAGGGAUGAAGGCCUUCGGGUUGUAAACCUCUUUCAGUAGGGAAGAAGCGCAAGUGACGGUACCUACAGAAGAAGCACCGGCUAACUACAUGCCAGCCGCCGCCGUAAUAC